UUACCCCUAAUAUCCGCCAGGGGACUACAAGCGUUAGCUUAAAACCCAAAGGACCUGGCGGUGCCUCAUACCCACCUAGAGGAGCCUGUUCUUGAAUCGAUAAUCCCCGUUCAACCUCACCACCCCUUGUUCAACCCGCCUAUAUACCGCCGUCGUCAGCUCACCCUGUGAAGGUCUUAAAGUGAGCAAAAUGGGCACAACCCAAAACGUCAGGUCAAGGUGCAGCGUAUGCGGUGGGAAGAAAUGGGCUACAUUACCUACCCCAGGUCAUCACGGAAAGGGUUGUGAAACCAGCCCUGGAAGGUGGAUUUAGCAGUAAGAAGAAAAUAGAGAGUCC
rnacentral:rRNA from 1 species